rnacentral:lncRNA from 1 species
UAUGUGACUGGUCCAGUGCAGAGCUGGACUCAAGCCCAAUCUGGCACCAAGACUAUGCUGUCUUGAUCCUCACACCUCAGUUACCAAAGUAAAUGUUUCGGCUGGGCACAGUGGCUCAUACCUGUAAUCCCACCACUUUAGGAGGCCAAGAUGGGAGGACAGCUUGAGGGCAGGAGUUUGAGGCCAGCCUGGGCAAUAUAGCGAGACCUCCAUCUCUACAAAGAAAUUAAAAAUUAGACGGGCAUGGUGACUUGCACCUGCAGUCUCAGCUACUCAGGAGGCUGAGGUGGGAGGAUGGUUGGAGCCCAGUUGGUCCCACUGCACUCCAGCCAGGGCAACAGACUGAGACGCUAACUAAAAAUAAUAAUAAUAAUAAUAAUAAUAAUGAGUCAGAUCAGAAGUCUCACUGCUUGUAAUGCUCCUGUGGCUACAUCUCACAGUAAAAGCCAAAGUUAUGCAGCCACGGAAAAGAAAUGAAGCAUGAAUUCACACUGCAACGUGGAUAAACUGAAAACAUGAUGCUGAAAGAGGCCAGACAUGAAAUGACAAAUACUGUAUGAUUCCACAUAUAUGAAAUGUACACUAAGAAGAUUGGCGACUGCCAGGGGCUGGGGGAGGGAGGUCUUGGAAAUGACAGCUCAUGGAUGCAGAGUUUUUUCCUGGGGUGAUGGGAAUUAGGUAGUGGUGAUGGCUGCAUAAUAUCGUGAAUCAACUAAAAACCACUGAAUUGUACACUUUAAAAAAUGAAUUUUGGGCCGGGUGUGGUGGCUCAUGCCUGUAAUCUCAGCACUUUGGGAGGUCAAGGCGGACAGAUCACUUGAGGGCAGGAGUUCAACACCAGCC